GGACAGAAACUGCUGGAGUUACAAUAGCUUCUGUCCACAUGUUUUUGAUCAAGUAGAUAAUCAGUAGUACUACUUAUAGUGCUGUUUGUGUACUUCUGUGGGUCCGUGUAUAUUUUGGCAAUUGGAUUUUCCGUUCUGAAACGGGUAUUGAAAAACAAAAAACGAGUGGUUAUUUGAUUUUCGUUUUAAAAUACAAAAAUUAAAAUUGAAAUACAUUCUUUGUGAUCCUUUUCAUGAUCACAAAAGGAUAUACGAAAUUUUAAAAAUGCUUUGAUUUUCAUUUUAUAUGUAGAAUAACCCAAAAAUAAAUUCAGUAAGAGACAGAAACGGAAAAAGGUCCGUUUUUUCAUUUUCUGAGACCGGAAGUGGUCAUCAGCAAGUGUAGAGCCAAACGACGACAAGAUUCUCAGAGGGCGGAGCCAGAGAGCAGUGAUUGGUCAGACCAUAGACUGUAUAUAAAGAUGGACGUAGCGUCUGGCUCCAGAAAUGAAGCCAACACGGAAGUGUCAAAAACUUGCAAUAUCACACCGUCCGCUAGGGCUGACUCCAGAAAGCUCCAUAGACCCCAAUUCAUCACGGGAAAAACUAAAAUUUGAUAGACUGCUUUUCUACAGCUCAUGAUUUUUUUUUCGUUGGUUUUCAUGGUCAAAAUGAGAGAUCAGGUGGCCGAUCCUAAAAUAAAUCAAUAUUGAUUUUUUUUUUAUAGAGCGUUAAAGUUUUGCGAAGCCAGGGGGCGGGACUACUUGACUGACAGGCUGGUCUGGAAUGAUUGACAGGUCCUAUGGAGGAGGCAGCAGAGACUCUGCUCUCCUCGUUUGGAUUAAUUCUGAUAUAAUAACUGUUGGUUUAUUUAUCGGUGGAGCAGCAGAACAUUUUCCACAGACAGUUUUCCUGCCCGUUGGCUUGUUUUAACCAGUUUUCUGCCUUCGGCUGAUUCUACCAGCAGACACAAAGGACUCUGAUAGUUCGGUAAGUAAAUGUUUGUUUUCGUAUCGGUGCCGCUUUUAAUGCACUUUAUAUGCAGCUGUAGUGUCAGAUAUAAUGUGUGCCAUGCACUCCAGAUGUUGGUGGAGUUUAUUUCUGUGUGUGUUGACCAGAGAAGAAAGUUAGCAUCCAGUAAAUAUUAGCUUUAAUGUUAGCGAUGCUAACCGAGCUAGCUGCUCAGUCCUAGCCUGAUUAAAGCUAACGUAGCAUUAAGCUAACGAUGUUUGUGUUAUUUCCUGUAAACAGCUGAAGUAUGUUGUGUUACUGUAAUGUGGUACAUUUAGUUAAUAAAACUGUUCAUGGAGACGCUGGUUCACAUUAAUGUAACGUUUAGAAAACCUAAAUGUGAUUAAAACAGUGAGGUUAAGGUUCUGUGUUGUCAGUAGUCCUGAAUAUCUGCUGAGUCUCUGAAGUUAAACUGGAGAAAACAGUAAAUCUGCUCUCUAGUUGUUAACAUUGUUUAAUGACUGAUUCACAUGUUUUAGUACUUAUUCCUGCAGUGUAGACUGGAAAAAUAAACUCCCAGAAUAUGUCCAAAGUAAUGAUAAACACUACACUUAUUACAUUUAAAUUACAGCACAGAUAAGCUGGAUAAUAAAAUCCUUUCCUCUAAAGCUAAAGUGACUACAGGCCUUUCUGUCUUUCAGUGCCUGGAAAACUAUAUGAAACAGGAAAUCUGUCCAGGGAUACUUUAAAAUGAACCUCUGCUGUUGAUGCUGAUACUGUGACGUCUGUCUUCAUCUCAGGUGUCUCAUGUUCACUGUGAGGAUCUUCUGAGUGAAGCCAACAGAAGGAAAACCUCAUCUGGAUGUGAAGAAGGAGACUGAAUGGACGACAUCCUCAGUGAACCACUUCCUGUUUAACUUUCACUUACAGAAGGACAGAGCAACUAUUUCAGCAGUUUAUUUUUCUCUGUUCUUAGUAUUCACAGGUUCCAUUUAUCACCUUUAACUUCAUCUCUGCUGUUGUAGCAGAAUGAUAAUACAGAGCACAUUUUCCUAUCAUUUAUAUCAGAUAUGUAGCAUUAAAACAUCAAGGACAAGAGCUUCAUUAUUUUCUUUAUUGCACAUUUAAAAACUACAUUGUUUAACAAUUGUGAACUAAGGAUGCGUAAACACAUGUAAUAAAUGGAUGAAAUACAUAAUGUGUUGCUGACAGUGAAGUGUAAAAACUGAACAGUCACAAGACAAGUUGUAUUAUGAAGAGAGGAGCUGAAUCUGCAGCAUUAUUGUUAUUACUGGAAGGAUGAGGAGGACAUCAGUGCUGCUCUUCCUCACAGUGAUGAAGGAGAAAAGACUCUUCAGACAACCACAGCUGGAUGUUCUCUGGAGCUCUCAGUCCAUCAGACGAGAUGCCCCCAAUGAUCCAGACCAAGACUGGAAGGAAAAGACACCAACAGUGGAAGCUGAAUUAGUGAGGAUGACUCCUGCUCCUGUCAUCUCUAAGCUCCUCCCACAUCUUUACCUGCACAUGAGGAAAAUCACUCCUGUAGAAUGCAGAUGUUCAGAGGGAGAUGAUGCCACAUCUGGUCCAGCAGAUGGAAGGUCUUGAAGUUCUCUGACUGGCCUGGACUGAAGAUGGUCGUCUCACUGGAUUUAAGGUUCAGAUGCUCAGUAACAAACUCCACCAAUGAGCCAACAGGGAAGCUGUAGGUUUAUUAAAUGUUGCUAUGAAGGUUUCACUGUUUUUCUUUGUGGAUGCAAUGUGCUCCAACUGAAACUUGAAUUAGAACUUAGAAGUAAAUCCUUCCAUCUGAAAGGAUUUAGUUGCAUUAAUAACCUCAUAACAUUCUAAUUUUUAUUCCAGUCUUGGUUGGAAAUAGAAUCUCUGUAUUGAUUCAGGUAAAAACUGAACUUCACAGCAUGUUGGAGCAAAACAACCAGAUGAAAACUGUGAUGGUGUUGGAUUGUCAGACCGUAAUGUUGCAGCUCAAAGCAGCUUUUCUAUCUCAGUUCAUUCUGACAUUCAGCUAUGAAUCAACACAGCAGAUGGUGAUCCAUGCUGUGGAAAUCUCACAUCUCCUGAUUUAAUGGAGCUGCUUUGCACUUUUUACACUGUUUAUUCACCAACACUUUAUUUAAUGAAAGUCCCAUCUAGUUUUUAUGAGGAAUGUGAUGUUUUAAUUUCUCUGAAUAACUGCAGUCUAAUGGAAGAGCUGGAACUGUAACAUCUGUCCUGAUAUUGAUCAUGAAGUAUUGAUCAGAAUACUUAUGGUUAGCAGUCAUCCCUGAAGUUUUACAUUAAAAUCAUUACUUGUGUUGUGAACUUUGGUAAGAAGCAGAAACUUUAGCGUUGCCAUGGAUACAUGAGUGUUAAAUUCUGUCCAUGUUUCCAUUUUGGGAAAUUCAGUCCAUCAGAUGAGUUUGUUUUUACUGCCAGCUACCAUUCAGUCUGAGAUAUUAAGAAUAAAUAAAUGUGCAUAAUGUGGAAAUGAAGAGAUUUUAUUUUUAUUUAUUCCUACAGCUGCUGCAUGGAAAGUUCCAGAAUGUGGAGGAAUUUAGUCUCAUAAUCACAGACAAUAAAUAUUAUCUGAAAGUCAGGUUAUUGUUGUUUAUCAGCACAAUACAAAAAGAUUAAUGUUAGAAAUAUUGCAGUUAAGACUCUAGAAUAUCAUGAUUGAUGUAAAUUUACAUCAAUAAUAUGAAUGUUCAGGUUAAGAUUGUGCAGUGAUAUUUAUUCUGUAAGUUUAGCUGAUUAAAGUUUAUGACUCUGAUUAUUUAAAUUGACAUCAUUAUUCUAAUAUUUAGGGUCAGACCCUACAGUAUUGAGAUUAAGAAAUCAAAUAUUCUAUAAAAUGUAAAUACACUGAACUCAUUUGGAUAUAUUUAAGUGAGACUCUACAAUAUUAUGUGACACAAAUCUAUCUAAAUCCAAAUUUUAAUCAUUUUUCUCCAAACAUUUACUGGACUGAUUUAAACUUUAAAAUCACUCCUUUCUAAUCCUCUGCUGUACGUUCAAACCUGAGGCCUUAAAUAGAAACACACAAGUAUCUGAUUGAAGGAACUUCUGCAGAGUCCUGGUUCCAGAACAUGAUGAUAGAAUUAUAGACAAACUUUAACAAAAGCUGCCUGAGAGUUUACAGGUUUUUAUGUUGGAUUUCUUCAGUAAUUUAAUGAGAGUUAUCAGCAAAAAUCAAGUGUUCAUUUGAUGAACUUCAUUUCCUAAAACAUCCAGAAUUGGAGCUCGUAUCUUUGGCAGCUGUAAAGUUUCUGCUCCUUCAAAGUUCACAACACAAUGAAUGAAUUCCUAAAACACUCUCAAUGCUGGAGAGCGUUUGAUGCUGAAGCAGUGAGCAGUUUUUCUGUUUCUUCUCUGGAGAUGCACAAUGAGGGACGUCUGCAGCGACUGAGAAAGAGUCUCACCACAUCCUGACAUGAGGAAAAAGACUUUAUUGAAGACUACAAUGAGAAAAACUAUCAGACAGCAGACGGCUGCAUUCAAGGUGAGCUCUGAACAUUUGAUCUGGAACAGGAAUUCAAUGACGGCAGCAUGAGCUUCAUUUCAGUCUGUAGCUGCUGAAUUCAUGGAUGAAUCAUCUGGCACUAGAGAAGAAGACCAUCAAACAUCCACGUCAGCUGAUGGAGGUCCAAGAGUCUCACCCAACAAACAACCUACAGAAUGAAGACCUCCAAUCUGAUUGGACGGCCUCCUAUUCAGCCACAUGUGUGAACAAAUGCCUCUAAGCUGAUUUGUUUUCUAAAAUUUGUUUUCUGGAACCAGCUCCCAGUUUGGGUUCGGGAGGCGGACACCCUCUCUAUUUUUAAGACCAGGCUUAAAACCUUCCUUUUUGACAAAGCUUAUAGUUAGGGCUGACUGGGUGACCCUGACGGGGUGAGCUGGUUUUCAUUUGCACAACUGACUUCCCCUCUUGACGUCCCUUUAGUUUGCCCCUAGUUAUGCUGCUAUAGGCCUAGGCUGCUGGGGAACCUCUCUGGAUGCACUGAGCCCUUCUCUAACUACCUAUGUAUUUACUAUAUAUACCAUUAUUGCAUUACAUUCACUCUGUUUCUUUCUGUGUCCUUUCUCCGAGUGUCCCUGGUCCCAGAGCUGGAUGCUGGAUGCUUCAGAUGUGUGGCUGUGUUUUAUGGUCCUUGUGUCCCACCCCCCCACCUCUCUAUCUCUACCCCUCUACCUCCAUCCCUCUAUCUCUACCUUUCUACCUCUUCUGUCCCUCUCAACCCACCCGGCCAGCAGCAGAUGGGUCCCCCCACAUUAGAGCCGGGUUCUGCUCGAGGUUUUUUUCCCUGUUAAAAGGGUGUUUUCCUUGCCACUGUCUCCUUAGGGCUGCUCUGGGGGUCAGCCAUAUGGGUUCUGUAAAGCGUCUCGAGACAAUUUGACUGUAAUUGGCGCUAUAUAAAUAAAAUUGAAUUAAAAAAAUAAAUAAAUAAAUCUAGUUUAAGUCCUAAUCUAUGCCUGUGUGUUUGCUUCUUUACACUGCUGUUAACAGUUUAGGCUGUUAGAUUGUUCCAGAUAAGACAAGUACAAGAUUCUUCAGAGCCGUUCCACCAUGAGCCUGACAGGAAGAACUCCAACAGCUACUGAAUGUUCCUGUGGUUCCCUCAAGGCUACAGGAGGAGUCCUACGAGGACGAGCCGGUCCACCUGAUGGUGGCCAGUCACUGCAGUUCAAAGCCAACACCGACUACGUGGACUUCUACUGGACCACACGGAGGCCUUCAAACCGGACCAACAAGUUCAGCGACUCCCCGACUCGUGGGUCUGAGGACGCCGCCGAGCCUCGGUCCAGCCAGCCUCCUGUCUGUGGGUGUUUGAGUGCUGAGAGGUUUGUGGAUGCAUGUGAACGUUCUGUGUUGAAACAGCAGCUUUGGACUCAGUAACGCCGGGAAAAACCAAGAGCUCCUUUAUUUGUGACUUCCACUAAAAAACUGAUGAAAAUAAGUUUGCCAGGGUUCUGACUGAUAACAGAUUAUUAAAUAAUGAAAAUAAUCGUUUAAAUAUUCCUUUAAACAAUCUUUUAGGGCUACAUUUCCUUUACACUGACUUCUUGGUAAAUGUACUAGUAUUUAGGGUGGAAUAUACCAUUAAGCCCGAUGUUCAAGGGUUCUUCUGGGAAUAUACUAUUAAACCAACCUUUUAGGUAAAUGUUCCAGGAUGUUGGGUAGAAUAUACCAUCAGAUAAACCUUUUAGGUCUACAUUGGAAGAUUUUACAGUAGAAUAUUACUCCAAUCCAUCCUUUAGGUCAACAUUUAAGGUGGAAUACUCCUUUACACCAAGAUUUUUUGGUCUACAUUGAAGGAUUUUUGGUGGAAUAUUUCUUUGGAUGAACUUUUUAAGUUUAUGUUCAAGGAUGUUGGUGGAAUAUAACAUCAGACCAACCUCCAAGGUCUACAGUAGUGAAUUUUAGGUGGAAUAUACCAUUAAACUCACCUUUUAGGUCUACAUUGGAGGAUUUUAGGUGGAAUUUUCUUCCAAACCAUCUUUUAGUCUACAUUUAAGGAUGUUUAGGAUGGUAUAUUCUUCCAAACCAACUUCUCAGGUCUACAUUUCAGGUGGAAUAUUCCUCCAUACUAACUUUUUUGGUCUACAUUGAAGGAUUUUUUCUAAACCACCCUUUGGGGUCUAUAUUUGAGGUUUUAGGUGGAAUAUUCCUUUUAACCAGCCCCUCGGGUCUCUUUGAGGAUUUUGGAUGGAAUACUCAGUUAAAGCAACAUUUUAGGUGCAUGUCCAAGGAUUUUUGGUGGAAUGUUACUUUAAGGUGGAUGUGUGAGGACCUUGUAGGUGGAAUACUUCCUGAAACCAACCUUUUAGGUCAACAUUCAAAGAUUUAAGGUGGAAUAUUCCUUUAAACCAACCUAAAUUUCAUGUUUUGAUCAUUAUCAAGUGAGAAACCUCAAUCCAGACUCCUCAUAAUGACGUUUGAGAUUUAUGCUGCUGUUAUUUGUUUAGUCCAGACUAAAUAACAGAAAUCCACAACUGUAAUUUUAUUGCAGGACUCGGUUAUUAAAUGUCAAAACAAUCCAUGUGACUCUAAAAACUCAACAGCUUUACAAACUCUAAGAUUAAACUCUCCACAAGGAUCCAAAAUAAGUUGGACUUCUACAUGAGAGCUUUAAUUAUUCUUCAUCUACUUUCUGAAAAGUUUGGUCAAUAAAAAAGACAAAAACUAAUAUUUUCAGCUGAACUAAAGUAAGACUUUGUGAUUUUUCUGCUCACAUCUUGUGUUGUUGUAAACUUCCUCUUUCAAAUAAAUAUCCUCCUAACCCCCUGGAAACCAGCGUUUGUCCUGUUUUUGUGUUGCUCGUCACCUACUUCAGACAGCCGGGACAAAACAACGUUUUGUGGACAAAAGGCUGUUCUAUGACGUUUUUAGAGCGACAUGCUAUGCUACGUCGAAAAAAAAUGUUAUUUAUCAACAUAUUGUAAAAACGUGCCAUAUGAUGAAAUAAAUAAUAAUAAUGUAAAGAAGGCCGUGAAAAACACUCCAGAAAGGUUUUCUUUGAAAAAAAAAUCAUCAUGAAUUUUGGCGCAAAAAAAACACCAUAGUAUACUAUGUCGAAAAAAAAUUUUUGAUUUUUCAACAUGUUGUGAAAACGUGCCAUAUGAUGAAAUAAUGUAAAGGAGGCCAUGAAAAAGUAUGUCGUCCAAAAUGUGACAAAAACGUCAUAGUUUAGUAUGUCGUCCAAAAUUUCUUGGUCAUGGUCUUUCUGGUCCUGCUCCAGAACACCUUCAUCAACUACGUUUUCCUUUGAAGAGGCCCUCAGAUGCUUCAAUCUCUGACAACUAAUAUUUUCAGCUGAACUAAAGACAGACUUUGUGAUUUUUCUGCUCACAUCUUGUGUUGUUGUAAACUUCCUCUUUCAAAUAAAUAUCCUCCUAACCCCCUGGAAACCAGCGUUUGUCCUGUUUUUGUGUUGCUCCUCAGCGACCCAAGACAGCAGGGUCCUAAUGUUUUUUGAGCAACACACCAUACUAUGAUGUUUUUACAAUGAUGGUUCUACUAUGGAGCCAGUUUGACAUGUUCAGGUGUUCUUUGUGUGAAAACUCAGAGAUUUCAGGUAUCAGAAGGUGGUUUUCAACUUUCUUUGUUAACUUUCUGCUUCAAAUUUAAAAUAAAUUUCCUUGACUAACCCCGCCCUCUGGACUUCCAGGAAGCUGUGUUCCUAUUGGCUGUCCAGGUGGCUGCUUGGUGUUAUCAGGAACACCUGAGCAGCUCAGUGUCUUCCUGCUUUAUUUAGCUGCAGACAAACAUUUCCUCUGCUUCUCUUCACCACUGAACUGGGUUUGGUUCCAUUGCUUUAGUUUGUUCUUUAG
ensembl:lncRNA